rnacentral:tRNA from 1 species
GUCCAGGGAUGGGAAACGAACCCACAAUGUUCCGCUUACCGGGCAGAUGCCAUGUCCACUAGGCUACCCUGGA